rnacentral:lncRNA from 1 species
UAUUCAUAGACAUCAAUCUGGGACGAAUUCCAUAGAACAUCAGAGAUAUAUAAUAUCGGCUGGGGAGGAGUUCGAUCAAGAGAAAAAGAAUAUUAUAAUUCUUUUGACACGGCUGCGACAUAAGGAAAAAAGAAGAAAAGCCGAUUGGUUCAAGUUUCAAGGCCGCGAUUCAAGAUUCGAUUACGGGUCGGAAAUGAAGUUUUCCUCAAAAGCAUUCUAGUCUCUACCGAGACUGUAGCAAAAGAAAGGGUCCAGAGCUUGGACCCAAAUGAUCUAGCUGGUGGUACAGAGAUUGGACAAGAAUGAAGUGAGGUAAACGUUCAAGUACCAAUAAAAAAGAUGAAAACUUGGUAAGAUCAUAUGGUUUAUUUUCUACAAUUCAAGAUUGUAUUGGUGCAUCCAUCGCAUGGCCAUAUCCAUUCAUCUCGGUGGUCCAUGAGGAUUGAGGACGCAUGA